rnacentral:rRNA from 1 species
GUUGUCCGGAUUAUUGGGCGUAAAGCGCGCGCAGGCGGAUCAGUCAGUCUGUCUUAAAAGUUCGGGGCUUAACCCCGUGAUGGGAUGGAAACUGCCAAUCUAGAGUAUCGGAGAGGAAAGUGGAAUUCCUAGUGUAGCGGUGAAAUGCGUAGAUAUUAGGAAGAACACCAGUGGCGAAGGCGACUUUCUGGACGAAAACUGACGCUGAGGCGCGAAAGCCAGGGGAGCGAACGGGAUUAGAUACCCCGGUAGUCCUGGCCGUAAACGAUGGGUACUAGGUGUAGGAGGUAUCGACCCCUUCUGUGCCGGAGUUAACGCAAUAAGUACCCCGCCUGGGGAGUACGACCGCAAGGUUGAAACUCAAAGGAAUUGACGGGGGCCCGCACAAGCGGUGGAGUAUGUGGUUUAAUUCGACGCAACGCGAAGAACCUUACCAGGUCUUGACAUUGAUGGACAGAACUAGAGAUAGUUCCUCUUCUUCGGAAGCCAGAAAACAGGUGGUGCACGGUUGUCGUCAGCUCGUGUCGU